GACGAACGCUGGCGGCGUGCCUAACACAUGCAGGUCGAGCGAUGAAGCCCUUCGGGGUGGAUUAGCGGCGGACGGGUGAGUAACACGUGGGUAACCUGCCUCAAAGUGGGGGAUAGCCUUCCGAAAGGAAGAUUAAUACCGCAUAAAAUGCUUUAAUCGCAUGGUUGAAGCAUCAAACGAGUAAUCGGCCUUGAGAUGGACCCGCGGCGCAUUAGCUAGUUGGUGAGGUAACGGCUCACCAAGGCGACGAUGCGUAGCCGACCUGAGAGGGUGAGCGGCAACAUUGGAACUGAGACACGGGCCAGACUCCUACGGGAGGCAGCAGUGGGGAAUAUUGCGCAAGGGCGGAAACACUGACGCAGCAACGCCGCGUGAAUGAUGAAGGCCUUAGGGUUGUAAAGUUCUGUCUUCUGGGACGAUAAUGACGGUACCAGAGGAGGAAGCCACGGCUAACUACGUGCCAGCCGCCGCCGUAA
rnacentral:rRNA from 1 species